rnacentral:lncRNA from 1 species
UUAAUUCUCUUCAAAUGGCUGCUACUUUUGCAUUUUUCCGAGAUGUUUCAACCCUACAAUCUUCUCCGAUGAAGUGGUGAGAAACAAUUACGUCAGUUGUGCUACGUUAGUUGCUUGAACGACGAUGAUUCAAGACAAUUAGAUCUGAUAUGUGGUAAAGCUAAGUUGGUUUUUGUAAGUGAUAUUAGAGAGAGAAUGGACGAGAUUUUUUCUCCGGUGGAUGAAAAACCAUUCUCAUCAAGUAAAAGAUGGUAAUGAGCCGGUCUUGAAGUUCCCUGAGGCAUAAAUUUGGUGAUGGGACAAAGAAA